rfam:Picea glauca, whole genome shotgun sequence.
UACAACAUAGCAUUAAUGCAUCGGAUCCCAUUAGAACUUCGCAGUUAAGUUUGCUAAGGCUAGAGUAGUACUGGGCUGGGUGACCUCCCGGAAAGUUUUAGUGUUUUAC